CCCAUGUGUAUUUUGCUCAAUUUGUCUGACUGUUCUUUCACUAGGAAAGAAGCCUUCUCAUGUGCUGGCUCUUUGCUUGUCACAGCUUGGAUACAGGGUAGCAUGGCCCAGCCACUUUCUGCUUUUGACAGGUCUUAAUGUUGAAAUGUUCCGAGAUCCUCAAAGGUCUGAUUGCCUCCUAUACUGACACAUCGCUGCAAGACCCACAUGCAUGUCCAGGGGAUGAAGGCUCCUUAAGAGUACAAGAUGCCAAAGAUGUUCUUCUGCACAGGUGCAACAUGAAAUGGAGGUGAUUUAGGUUGUGAGCUGUCAGUUGGCUGCCUAUCAGUCACCAGGGAUGUGCUGCUCCUUGAUUGCUGUCAGCCAGCAUUACAAGACCAGUUCUGAUGGUGUAUUUGUGCUACAUUACAGAUCUUCAGCUUAGAAAACUCUGUUUCACUGUCAACAAGUUUGGCAAACCACAGUGGUUUAAUGCUAAUUCUUGUACUGGCAACUCUGCUGUAUGUAUGGGGUUCACAGUGCUCCAGUCUUGCUGAGCGAUGGAAAAAUCUUUGUGUUUUUUUUUCUAUCGAGCUUAAACCAUGAGAAGUGCUAUAUUAUAUCUGGUAAAGAGACCAAGAAAGCUAAGCAAAGCUGACAAGCCACUGUACAACUGGGGGUGUUAGAGAAACCACUGUGUACUCUAGCUUUGUACAAUUAAAUAGCCAUCUCGCUUCACACCCACAGCCACGGAGCCACUUCAUUUGUGUUAUAGGCAAAGGCAGCCUGCAACAGGCUUCAGUUAGAUGAAGAGAUCAUACUGUCAACAAGACUAAUAUUUGAUUACUAAGAGAGAGAGUCGCAGCCAGGAAUAACGCAUCUCCAAGUUUACACCCUUAUGAUCAGAAGGAUAAUCUAUUGAUAAUCUGAUUUUUAGGAAGAGUAACUGGAAAAACAGUCUGGGAGCAGCUGAGAUGGCAUUCUGCUGUGUGCCUUUGGUGAAAGGAUGUAUUAUCACAGUCCCCAGCACUUAAUCAUUGAGCGCAAUACGCAGAAAUAGUCAGAAAGUUGCAGACUGUGCUGAACGGGUUGAAAGGUUGUGGGAACAUGUUCUGGCACAGCCUUGUGCUGUGGUGAGACACAGAACAAGGGUGAAAGGAUAAACCCUCUUCUCUCCUUAAUUCAGCAUCAUCUUGCUUCCUGGAGCAGAAAUAAUUUCCAUUACUCAUUUAGGGUAACACUUUUCUAAUGCAUAUUACAUGGAAAUUUCUCAGCUGCAAAUCUUUGGUCCUGCUCAAACACUGCAAAAAAUCUUUAGUAUAUUACACAAUGAAGUAUUUGUAAACACAGCUGACUUGAGUUUAACAGGAACUUUAGCCAGUUGGAAAAUAAACCAACAGUGUAUUACAUGACAACAGACCAGCCUGGCAUGAAAACUGCCAAGAUCCUGAGGCCCUGGAGUGUUUUCAGAGUAGGGCAAUGAAGCUAUGAAGGGUCUGGAACACAUGUCUUAUGGGAAGGACCUGAGGGAGAGCUGGGAUUGUUCAGUCUGGAGGAGACUCAGGACAGAUAUUAUUGCUCUCUACAACUGCCUAAAAGGAGGUGGUGCUGAGGUGGGGAUCAGCCUUUUCUCACAGGUAACAGUAAAAUAAGAGGGAAUGGACUCAAGUUGCACCAGGUGGGAUUCAGGUUGGAUAUCAGGAAACAUUUCUUCUCAGAAAUAGAGGUGAGGCAGUGGCACAGGCUGCCCAGGGAGGUGGUGAAGUUACCAUCCCUGGAAGUGUUCAAGAGACGUGCAGGUAUGGCACCGAGGAGGACAGCUGAAAACUCACUUCCUCGUGUAACUGUUUCCCAGCUGCCUUCUUGUCACAGAACACAGAAUGGUUUGGGUUGGAAGGGACCUUAAAGCCCACCCAAUCCCAACUCCCUGCCAUGGGCAGGGCUGCCCCCUCAGCAGAGGCUGCCCAGGGAUCCAUCCAUCCCAGCCUUAAAUCCUCCAGGGAUGAGGAACCCACAGCCUUCCCGAUUGCAUUCAAUUAGUUAGGGUGGGCUAGCGAGUGCAGACAACUGUCCCCACACACAGAGGAAAGAAAAUGGCGGGUAUGGAUAGGAGCCUAAUACAGAGGCAUGGAGUGGGCCUCACAGGCUCUAAUCUUUCUUAUGUGUACCUAACAAGCACGUGAAGCUGUUUCUCCUGCCAGUGGCACCUCUUAUGCAAUGUAUUUUGUUCUUUCAGUUUUGUUCUUUCAUGGAAUAAUUUUUCCUCUGCUCAGUUCUGCCAAUGUCAGCGUUAUCAUUGCAGCUCCACUUCUUAGAAUAAUUGCAUAUGUACAAACAACCAAUUUCUAGUGAUGCAACACUCCCGAUUUUCACAUGACCACCUUACUAUCAACUACCUUCAGCAAGUAAACAGAGAUUUUAUCCUAAUGGUGUCAGAGAUAGAAGGAUGAAAGCCCAGGCAGACAAGAGUGUACUGUAUUUCACUAGUUACAGGUGAGUUAAUGUGAAAAUGACCAGCUUUACUCAGUGAGCUUUGUCUUUGCUGCUUGGGUUUGUGAGCCCAACUCUUCAGCUGUAUUCUCAACAGCACGUGGUGAACACACUCACAGGGCAACCAGAGAGUUAUGAAAUGUAUGGUCCAAAUAAAAUAUCCAGGCAUGGUUAAAGAAGUGGAUGUUUAAGGAUACUUUACCAAACAAUUCAGCCUUUCUUCUUUAGACAAGGGAGAAGUACAUCAUAAAGCUGAGUCUUCAGGGUGAAUGAAAGACACAGUGGCUUUGUGUUAAUACUGGUAGAACAACUACAGAGGUACUUCGGUAUGAAGGAACGGAGCGCUCCCUUCACUGCUUUACUUAGACUUGGGAAUAUUUUGAUGUUCUGUAUGUGCAAUCUAUUUAGCUCGCUAGAGAGACCAAGGGAUGGUUCAGUCUCUCAUCUGGAUUUCUUACAUAUUCUUACAUAUAUUGAAAGGCCUAUAGUAGUAGAAAUACCUUUAACCUAAAUGAAAAUAAAUAAAUACAUAAAUAAAUAAUAGUGUGUGCUAAUAACAGAAAGAUAAAUUCAAAACACAAAUCAGAACCUUUUCACAGUUAGUAUUUCACCUCUAGAAUAAUUGAUACACAGAUGUAAUAGACCUGUAAUCACCCUUUAAGAGUGAACUAAGAAAUGCUUAAGCAUUUAGCACUUAAGCAGAGUUAAAGAGGUUAUGUUGAAGUUAAUGUAACAGGGUAUUUGAACUCUGUUAUGCAUAAUCCUUUCCUGUAUUUGCAUGUAAGUCUCACUACCUGCACAAGCCUGGGGUAAUAGUUCUUCCUGUCAUAAUCUCGCUGUAAUUUUCAUCCCUAAAUUUUUUCCAUAAGGCUUAAAUUAUGUGCUCUGAUUGAAAAACAAAUAAUCCAGUUUGAAGUUUAAAAAUGAAAGGUAAUCUCUGGCUUUACUUUUGCUUCAAACCUUCUGGUUCCAUGUUUUCCUAGUAACAAACAUAGUGCAUAUUUCUAAAAGGCAGUUGACAAGAAAUGUUUCUCAUUAUUUUAAAAACGACAUAUGGGCUCCUUGCUGCACUUCAUGUUUGCUUUCUCCACUGCCUUUUGCACAGCGUGUAGACCACUUGGUUAUGGCCAAAGCUGUUCUUUGGACAGCAGAAGAAGGAUACCAUAUAGGAGCAGAAUCUAUUUUAUUGUAGACUGGGCAAUUCAUGAACCAGAAGGAGGAAAAAAUGCAAGCCAUUGGAUGAACUGAAGCUGCCAUGGUCAUUCCCAAAUCACACUUGGCAAUCAGAAGAUGAGCACUGCAGAGAGAGACAUCAGUAAGCAGUAUGAUCUGCAUGGAAAAACCUACAAGAUGCAUAAGACAAGACCAAUGUAUGUAUAGGAUUUGUGAGAUCCCUCUCAACCAUGGAGUAGAGUUUUCAUCAAACUUUCAGAGAGAUAAUUUAGAGCUAUGGCUUGCUAGCUCAAAACAAUAGUUCAUAGCCCUUGAUGCUUAGUUUGACAAGCGUCUCAGGGAAAGAGAGCGGUGCUUACCUUAAAUCACUUGAAAUGUGAUUUGUACAUGUGAUUCUUCUUCUGUGCUCCUGCAGUCAUGAUUUUAUCACAUUGAGAUCAAGGCACUUCAACACAGAAGAAUGUAAACUUCAGUCAUUUUACUUCUUUUGGCUCUGAACCAGGCUGGCAUCAGCUUGGAGUGUAAGAAAUUGCAACUGACGGUCCACAAAACAAAUUGCUCCACUAAAUAGCUACUAUUUAAGAAGAAAAAAAUCUCACAUCCCCAGUUAAGAUUAUUCAUUUAAGAGAUGUGCCUUUAGUGUAAAUCAUCACGAGGCAGCCUUUUACAAUACACAAGAGGUAACAUCUUGGGUGUAGAACUUUCCUGACAGAGGAAAAUACUGUGAAAGGUAUGGAGGAACAUAAAACACUAUCACUGUUGAAAUGGCUGACAAAACACUCAAAUACCUUGAGAGGGUCCACAUCUGCUUAUUCUGCAAACUGUUAUUUACAAGCUAAACAGAAAAAUCCUGCACAGAAAACUGUCUGUAGGCACACUAAAGAGUUUCUCUGAUUAAUUGCGAUUAAGACAGAAUUACAUCACAGACCUCCUUAGUUGCCUUUGUUAUAUUUCUUUGCCACUUCCAUCUACACAAAGUACGUUAAUAUUAAGUUAACAUAAUUUUUUAUUCUUGUUUUUCUCAGAUUAUUAUUUAUUCAGAUAAUCCAUUUUAAAAGCGAUUCUUUAAAAUCAAGAACUACUAAAAAAAUGUCCAAAGAACUACACUCCCUUUCCUGCUUUCUUCUAACUUAAUAACAUCUCCUCAAAGGUCAUACAAUGAUGGCUUGUAAUUCAGUAAACAAGAGGAAGUUUUUCUGGCCCUUAAUACAAGCAAGUGCU